ACAAGAUCUGAUGGGUUUAUCAGGGGUUUCCGCUUUUGCUUCUUCCUCAUUUUCUCUUGCUGCUGCCAUUUUCGCCUCCCGCCAUGAUUCUGAGGCCUCCCCAGCUAUGUGGAACUGCUGUACGUGAAGCAUGGCCAGCAUUUGCUUCUGGUGAGGGCCUCAGGGAGCUUCCAGUUAUGGCGGAAGGCGAAGGAGAGCUGCAUCACAUGGCGACAGGAAAGAACAGAGAGGAGGAGGUGCUAGGCUUUUUCUUAGUACCCAGAUCUUGCCUGAACUAAUAGAGUAAGAACUCACUCAUAGGGUGAUGGAUCUCUGCAGUAAGUGGAAGAGUUCUUCAUGGCCCCCAAGGUUAUAUCCAUCUAGAACUUCAGCACGUAAUUUCAUCUGGAAAUAGUGCCUUUGCGGAUAUAAGUUAGGUAAAACUGAAGAUGAGAUCAUACUGGAUUAGGAUGGGAUCUAAAUCCAAUGAAAAUGUCUUCAUAAAAAACAGGAAAGAACCCAUAGAAACACAAGGAAGAAGGUCAUGUGAAGAUGGAGGCAGAGAUUGGAGGGAUGCAGCCACCGGCCCAGGAAUGCCAGCAGCCACCCAGAAGCUGGAAGGAAAUGAGGGAUUCUCUCCUAGAACCUUUAGAGAGAACAUGGUCCUGUGAACAGCUUGAUUUUGGACUUGCCCAUAGCUUGUAUACUCUUACUUUGGAUACAAUUUUAUCCAAACUUGGCUAAACAGUUUCUCAGCCUAUGGAAAAUUUAAAAUGGAGAAGAUUCAACUCGAUUCUUACAGAUUCAAAGCAAGAAAAUGAUGGGAACAUAGGAGGAGACCAAGAAAGCCUAUAAAAAGCAAAAAUAUGAAGUGAACAUUGUGGUAGCUUUAAGAUGUUUAGUGUAGCUGCAGGCACCCUAUACACAUGAAAACCCCCAAGGGGAAUCCCCAUAUCACAGUGUAGUGUGAUAUUUGACAUUCGUGAUCAUCUAGAGAUGUACAGAAAAGGUGAAUCUGUGUUCUGUAUAUUCUGCCUAAGGCAAAGAAAUGUUUAGCUCUCUUUAAAAUAGUUCCAUAAUUUUUUCUAAAAAGCUUUGCUUGAAAACUGUAAGCUUCCCAUAUCUGGAGCAUUUCACUUUAAAUAUUUGGAUAAAUAUGUUAUCUUCUUACUUGGACAUUUCAUGUGUUUAGGGAUUGUCUUCUAAAUUCUUCCUAAUUCAUAUAGCUGCUAACACUUCCCGCAGAGCUAAACCAUUACAGAUAUGAAAUAAAGACCUAUUGAUUUGACUUACUUUUACUUGUAAAACCUUCUGAGUGUUAUAACCUCAUUUAAUCUUUCAGCAUUUACAGUUUCAAGAGUUUGUGUCACAAUUAGAAGAAUUCAGCUGCACCUCCAAGUGACAGCAGUUGCUCUGGUUGGUGGGUGAUCUCAGGAGGCUUGAGAAUUGCUUUGUCUGUGAGGGAAGUAAGACAUUUUCAGAGCCCCACUUUAGAAGGUGUGAACUGGCUAGAUAAUGAACCCCAGGGCUAACGCUGCUAUAGCAGUGGGAAGGAGGUGAUGGGUUUUCAGUUUGGACCUCAAACAUCAAUACCCUCCUGGUACGGGGAGGAACAGAGUCCCUCCUUUACUUCUCCAUUAGAAAGAAUGAGAUGGCAAGACAAUGAAACAGGCAAAGUGAACAGAGAUGCAAGACAAAAUUCAGGUGAGAGAGCCAGAGCAUCACUCAGCCAUUCCUGACAUGUAAAACAGGCAACUAGAAAUUUGCAGAAAGGAAGCGAAGUCUCCAUAAAGAUGUUUUUAAAGUGAGCUUGAAGUAUUUGGAGACAAUUCAGUGUUACAUAAAAUCUGCAAAUCUCUGGAUAAAGAAGCAGAGAUCCCAGCAUGGGACAAAUGGAGCCUCAAAAGUGGGAAGAAGACAGAGAAGACCAGGGCAGAAUGCAUCUCUUCCUUUCUCUUGGCUUUCCUGGAUAAGGACUGCAUCAUUCCUGUGGAAGGACAGGCCAUCAGCUCCGAAACACUGUAUGUAUUUUCCAGUAUAUACUGCUAGCUGUGUGAUGUUGGGAAAAUUUGUUACCCUGUCUAACCCCCACUUCCCUCAUCUGUAAAAUGGAAAUAAUGAUAGUACCUACCUAUCUCAUAGGUGGCAACUACAAGGGGCAGCACACUCAGGGAAUUAAGGAAGUUUCAGUGAACAUCAACUUUAUGAACACAGUGUUCAUAAAGGCAGGUCAGUGCAGUGGUUUGGGAGCCAGGAGAAGCACGUGGGCCGGAGUGUGCCUGCAGGAGACAAGGUCAGAGAUGUUGCUAAUAAUGGAGAAUAAAGGAUGCAUUCUCAUUACUGA
ensembl:lncRNA ARLNC1 androgen receptor regulated long noncoding RNA 1